UACGUAGGGUGCAAGCGUUGUCCGGAUUUAUUGGGCGUAAAGAGCGUGUAGGCGGCCAAGCAGGUCCGCUGUGAAAACUCGAGGCUCAACCUCGAGAGGUCGGUGGAAACCGUUUGGCUAGAGUCCGGAAGAGGAGACUGGAAUUCCUGGUGUAGCGGUGAAAUGCGUAGAUAUUGGGAAGAACACCAGCGGCGAAAGCGCGUGACUGGGCCGGAACUGACACUCAUGGACGAAAGCUAGGGGAGCGAAAGGG
rnacentral:rRNA from 1 species